UGCACUCUAUGGAAGGAUCUAACUGAAGU
rnacentral:piRNA from 1 species